rnacentral:tRNA from 15 species
GUCGGGAUAGCUCAGCUGUAGAGCAGAGG